rnacentral:rRNA from 1 species
AGGGUUCCAAAAUUAUUGUUAAGUGAAAAUAAGGUAGUGUUUAUCUAAGCCAACCAGGAAAUGGGCUUAGGAGCGGCCAUUUUUUAAAGACCUCGUAACAGAGCACUGGUUUUAUACAAUUUUGUAUUGUAUUGUUAGAUGCACCUAAAAUUUAACGGAUCUAAAUAAUAUACCGAGACCUUGUCCAUAAAUAUUUAUAUGUACAAGUUACAUAGAAUAUAUAUGGGGUAGCGGAACAUUGGGCAUAUUUCAGAUUUUUUCUUUUUAAGACUUAAGAUUAGAUUACCCAAGUGAUAAUGCUGACAUGAGUAACGAUAAAGGGUUUAUACCCUCGCCUAAAGCUUAUGGAAUUUACUUAAAGUAACGGCCUCUAGUUUAAAUUUGCUUUACUUACUGGGUUUUUUAGCUCUAAUCAAAAACGUGAUAAAGUAAAGUUACCUAAGGGUAUAAACGAUGAGAAAAAAAUUUUUUUGCUUUUUGAUAAAAAAAAAAAAAAAUCUAAGUUUACGGUGAAUAAGAAUGGAUACUUAUGGAAACACAUUGAACGCGUAAAGUUGAAAAGUGUGUUUAAGUUUCUCUAAAGAAAAAAAAAUAUUUAGUAGGUUUGACUAAACACACUAUAUAAAUAAAAACAGCUUGUGU